GGCCAAAUAUUUUGGUUGGAUAAAUUGAUAAGUUGAUUCCACCGGCACAGUGACACACAUCCCGCUUCCCGAUCUGCGGGACCUACAUUCUUACGGUCACCAACCCCACCAACCAACACCCACCGCACUCCCCGACUCUCUCUGUCACCCCCCAAAAGUACUCACAAAUCUUCAAAGCUCGUCGGCAAUGGCGCUUCUCAGGCUCUCGAGCUCCAUCAACAAGAAGCUGCCCUUUCAACCUUUCUUCAAUGGCGGCACCAUAUACCACAUGUCCUCUCUGGCCAGCCAGGCUGCUCAAGACAAAGGGAAAGCUCGCACCACUUGGAUUAAGCAGUUGAAUGAGCCGCUUGAGGCUGUCGAUUCUGAGAUUGCCGAUAUCAUCGAGCUCGAAAAAGCUCGGCAAUGGAAGGGGCUUGAGCUUAUACCAUCAGAAAAUUUCACGUCACUUUCGGUGAUGCAAGCUGUUGGGUCCGUCAUGACCAACAAGUACAGUGAAGGGUAUCCUGGUGCUAGAUACUAUGGAGGAAAUGAAUACAUCGACAUGGCUGAGUCCCUGUGUCAAAAACGUGCAUUAGAAGCCUUCCAGUUAGAUCCUGCAAAAUGGGGAGUGAAUGUGCAGCCACUAUCUGGAUCCCCUGCAAACUUCCAAGCUUAUACUGCAUUGUUGAAACCUCAUGAAAGAAUCAUGGCACUUGAUCUACCUCACGGCGGACAUCUUUCUCAUGGUUAUCAGACUGACACCAAAAAGAUAUCUGCUGUGUCGAUAUUUUUUGAGACAAUGCCAUACAGAUUGAAUGAGAGCACUGGCUACAUUGAUUAUGAUCAGAUGGAGAAAAGUGCCACACUUUUCAGGCCAAAGCUAAUAGUUGCUGGUGCAAGUGCUUAUGCACGCCUGUACGAUUAUGAGCGUAUCCGCAAGGUCUGUGAUAAGCAGAAAGCAAUUCUGUUGGCUGAUAUGGCACACAUCAGUGGAUUGGUUGCUGCCGAUGUUAUUCCAUCUCCUUUUGAGUAUGCAGAUAUUGUUACAACCACAACUCAUAAGUCACUUCGUGGACCUCGUGGGGCUAUGAUCUUCUUCAGGAAGGGUGUCAAGCAUAUAAACAAGCAAGGGCAAGAAGUUAUGUAUGAUUAUGAAGACAAAAUCAAUCAGGCUGUCUUUCCUGGACUCCAGGGUGGUCCGCACAACCACACCAUAGCAGGGCUAGCAGUUGCACUGAAGCAGGUCAAAACUCCGGAGUACAAAGCUUAUCAGGAACAAGUUCUCAGUAAUUGCUCAAAAUUUGCAGAGAGCUUGCUAGAGAAGGGCUAUGAUCUUGUUUCCGGUGGAACAGAGAACCAUUUAGUGUUGGUGAAUUUAAGAGACAAGGGCAUUGAUGGCUCUAGAGUUGAAAAAGUUUUGGAAUCAGCACAUAUUGCAGCAAAUAAAAAUACUGUUCCUGGGGACGUGUCUGCCAUGGUCCCUGGUGGCAUACGCAUGGGAACCCCAGCUCUUACGUCUAGGGGGUUUUUGGAGGAGGAUUUUGUGAAAGUAGCUGAGUAUUUUGAUGCAGCUGUAAAGUUGGCCUUGAAGAUCAAGGCUGCUGCCAAAGGUACGAAGUUGAAGGAUUUCGUGGCAGUUCUGGAAUCAGACGGUGAAGUUCAGUCUGAGAUUACAAAGCUUCGCCACGAGGUUGAGCAGUACGCUAAACAGUUUCCAACCAUUGGAUUCGAGAAAGAAACAAUGAGAUACAGAGAAUAAAGCCAUAAUCUCACAGAUCAUUGUCACAGAUAACUCAAAAGAUUUCCAAUACGAGGGCCACAUUGGACUUUCGUCGACACAGCACAACAGCGACGGAUUUCAUUAUAAAUUGCAGUAUCUUUUUCGGUAAUAUCAUUUUUCGAUUUUGCCAGUUGUCAUUCUUGAUUAUUGAAUCUUGGUGUCCACAUCGCAACUGUUAUUUCAGAUAAGCUUCUCAAUAAUUGAUGCUACUUGUCUGUUGAUUGAGAUGUCAAUGGACAGCAAUUUAGCAAUUAUAGAAGGAAUAAAACCAGUGGAAGGAAGGUAGUGUGGAAACAGAGCAUGAUGCCUACUGCUGAUUUUUAUAUUAUAUAUAUGCUUGGUGUAGUUUAACAUGGAUACAAUGUUACGAGGCAGGCUGGUGAUCUUUCUGAGAAACAGUCAACCGGAGGGAAAACCAACAAGUCCUUCGUAGGGAUUAGGCGAGUCAAACUACUCUUAAGGCUUGGUCAUCGAACUACAAAGGUAGCCUUACUUUCUAGCAUGCACAAGGCGGUAAAAAAGAACCAUGACCCGGGAUUUGGUCAUCAAUCACAAAAAUAGGCUACUUUCUUCCCGCUCAGAGCAAUUAGAAAGGACUAACUUCCUGAUAGAACGACCCCCUUGUCCCCCAUCACUGAAAUUUUAUUUAAAGGAAAAAACAAAACAAAGGGAUUUAGCCAUCAACUACAAGAGUUGGUUUAUGAGCAGAACCUUUCUGUUAUUAUUUUUUGGCCGCAGUGGUA